GCACGGCCGCCAUGAUGGUUGUGGGAAGGCGGGUCUAGGCUGUCCUCUCGCCUUCCACUGCCGGUUGGGAGGACCGAGCUGGAGAGGAUGAGUGGCAACUCUAGGUCUUUCCUGGGGCCAGGACGUUGAAAGUUUAUGCUUGCUCCCCUACGACUCAGUUCAGGGAACUGGAAAAUGUUACUCUUUCCUUCUCGCUUCAGAACUUGGCCCUUUCCCGCGACGCAGAGGGCCAGUCAGAGAAGGAACUCUUCUUCGCAAUUCGAGGAAGCCCGACAUUGUGCAACAACUCUUUUAGAGAAUAGGGAAUGAAUAUGUUUUCCGUGUGAACUGCGAAGCCUAAUGGAGCGUGAGGUCUGCAGUCCAGCGUGUGUUUGGAUCUCACUUCCUCCACUGCACACUGCUUACUAGUGGAUUUAUGGGAUAAGUAAGAAUCCUGUUGCAGUCCUCAAAAGAUCCUGUGCAUAUGAAUCACCUUGGGAUCUUGUUAUGUAAACCACCACAAUCUCAGUGACACAGCCACACAGAUUUGUUGCUUCCACUUCCAAGAGAAAGAGUUCAUGCUCUCUCAAGGCUACCACCACAGUCUCAUCUGGAGACUUGACUGGGGAAGAAUCUAAUUCCAAACUUAUACUGGCUCCUUCACUUCCUUGUUGCAAUGUGACUAAGAGCUCUGGCUUCUUACUGACAAUCAGCUGGAAGUGCCCAUCAGGUCCUGAAGGCCACAGUUCCUCAACACAUGACCUUAUCAAAGGCCCUCUUGCAACAUGGCAGCUUACUUCUUCAAAGCCAGCAAGCAGAAUCCAGUGAACACAAGAAAGAUGGAGUCAUACCGACAUAGAUAUAGAUAGUAAUAUAGAUAAACAUACAUAUAGAUAGUAACCUAAGUAAGGGAGUAGCAGCCCAGUACCUCGGGCAUAUUCUAUGGUAAGCAAGCAAUAGGCUUUACCUGCACUCCAGAAGAGGGGGUCAUACAAAGAUGUGACUUGUUGGGGGUCAGGGGUGUGUCACCUUAGGGUAUGUCUGCCACAAAUAUUAAUUUGGCAGCAAUGUACCAUGUAAGUUAGGUGGGAAAUACAGGGAAGGUAAGGAGAAAAGGGAGAUAUUAUUGUUGUCAUUUUAACCAAAACUGUAUAGUUGUCACCACAAAAGAAUAAAUCGAACCCAUAAGGUAAGGGAUAGGUCUUUGAUCAUACUAUAGGCAUUAAAUAAAAUGCAGUUACCACUUUGUCUUUAGAAUUUAGUAGCAAAUCACCCUGCAACAUGCCAACCCUUUCUGGAUUUCUUAAGUUCCGUGAGUUCUCCGAAAGCCAGAGGCUUGUUCCUCCACUUAUAGAUUUCAAAAGCGGGAGAGGAAACACAUGGCUCAGCAAUGUGACAAUGAUCUCAUUGUCGCUGUCAUUUUCUGAUUAUUUCACAUGUGCUGUUCUUUUUCUUCCUCAUCUAGAUUGUAAUUGGUUUGGUAUGCCCCAAAGUGCCUAACACUUUGCUAAUAAUAUCCUUUUCUUAGGUUAUCCAUUCCCCUAAAAGUCACAUCAUUUAGAGGCUUCAUGUUGACACUGAGUCCUCACACUUUAUUAUGUUGCAGUAAAGAAGCUUAACAAGUGUUCUUUGUGUGAUUUUUGUGUAAUUUAAACCCCCUUGUGUAAUUAAGAGCUUCCCUUUGAGCUUUCUCACAUGACAUGAAAAUCCACUGUAAGAUUUCUCCCUAUCUCAUGACUUCCACUGAAUCAAACCAUUUCUUUCCAAUUAGUAGUUUUUCUUUUUCUAGAAAUAUCCUUAGUUGCUCCAUAUUCAGGUCUUCUAUGAAGGAGGGAAGAUUGGGAGUGGAUUACCUCAACGAGAUUCCAGGAUCCACGAGGGGAAAUUAGGAUAAUAAAGGAGAUGAUGAAUGCCCAUCACCAGUGCAGCAAUAGGAGCUCAAGAUCAUCCUACUCACCCUGUUCUUCAAGGUUUCCCUUCAGGAAGAGAGGAGCUACAGAACCUGGAAGAGAUGCAUCCCAAAUCUAUGUGGAGAAGGGAAUCCAUGCAGUACAAACAGAGGAUCGUAGAAGACACAAAGAUGCACUGUCCAGAUUCCCCUUCAAGGAAAAGCGACUCUCAUCUGACAAGAGAGUGGCUUUGGUCACUGUUCUUUCUUUGGCAUUGCCUCAGUUUCCCAGUUGAGGUCACAUUAUUUUGAGGGGCAGGCUAAUGAGUAAAUGAGCAAGGAGAAGGUAGCCAGAGGCAGGCUCUUCCUGGGGAAAAGGAUUAAGGCUUAUUGGCUCUUUCUGCCCCAAAAGGGAGUCUUUUUACAGACCAUCUGCCCUGGAGCGCCCUCUUGGGUUAGUGAAAUCUGCUAUAGCCUCUCUGAUCAAUCCUGCCUUUUCCUCUUUCCUCACACAGUUGUUUUUGCCCAAUAAACUUUUUGGACUCACCGCUGCACCUGUGAGUCAACUUCCCAACUUGCUCCAUGGAACAAUCUUAACAAUUGAUAAAUCUGCAGUCUUCGUUGUACUUCCUUUUGCAGUUUUUCUUUCAGUUUCAAUUUUUUCACCCAAAAAAUUGGGCAAAAGUAAAGACCAAACAAAAUUUUAAUGAAAAGAGAGAUUUAAGAGACAUAAGGAAAAAAAAAAAACUGGAGAUACUUUAUUUUGAUAUUGAUUAAAAUAAGUUACAAAGUAAAUCAGGAGAAAGAUGGGAAAUUCUAACACUAAUGAUAAAAAGAAGUUUUGUAAACAUAUUAGGUAUGAUAUUAGUAUUUUGAAUAUGAUUUUUUAAAAAGGAUUCCUUCUACACAUGCUGCUUGAAAUGCUUGUGGAUGAAAUUGUACGAUGGUUGGUAUUUAUGCCACAGGAAUCUGAGGUAAGGGGGAUACUGGCAAUAGCACCUUAACUUUACUUCAUCUUCAUAAAAUUUGUAUUUUGUUUUGCUUGUGCUAAGUGUAAUUCAUGAAGGUGGAAUGUGUUACUUAUUCAACACCCACUGUUUAGGCAUUAUGAAAAUCUGGGCAUGCAAGAAAUUUUAAAAAUCUGGUUCUUGUGGUCAACUUAUUCACAGUUGGUACAGACAUAUAUACAACCACCAUUGUGAAAACUGAUUAUCUUGGAACUUUCUACUAGUUGGGGGUCUAAUCCCCCUAAUUCCAGUAUUAAUAUUCCGAAUUUGGGUAGGAAGUAUUAUUUUUAACAUUGUAUAAAUAAUCACCUCUUAUUGUAGAAAGCCAUUAAGAUAAAUUUUACUUUUAUUCAGUUUCUUCAGAACUUAGCCCUUAGGUGUAUUCAGACACAUGAUACUAAAAAAUGGAAUGAAUGACGAGUGUGUUUGUGUGUGUGCAUGCCCACAUUUUCACUCCAGGGAAAGCCUGGGAGAGGGCUUUGAACACAGCAAAAGUCUUUAUUAGGAGUUUAAUCAUUUUCUCUGGAUCAGUCUUUUCUAGCUAGACACUAACUACACCACUACCACAAGCAAAAAAAUGUUCUUGGACAAGUGAAACAUAGAUUGUUAGUUAUGUGUAGAUUUUUCUUCUAAAGAAUUAAUUUUAACAAUGGAAUGAUUUUUUGUACCUCCAUUCAUAUGUUGAAACCCUAAUCCUCAAUAUGAUGGCAUUUGGAGAUGACACCUUUGGUAGGUGAUGAGGUUAUGAGAGAAGAACCUUUGUCAUGGAUUUAGAAAAGACAGGAGACCAUAGAAAUGAAAAGUUGCACCCCAUUUUGUACAACCAAUCAAAAUGCAGUCUGUAAAAAUAAAAAAAAUUUUUAAAAAGGAGAAAGACACAAAAGAGUUUGCCUCCUCUCUUUCUCCCCAUCAUGGGAGGAUACAAGAAGAUAACCAUCUGCAAACCAGCAAGAGUCUUCACCAAAUACUGGAUCUGCUAGCUUCCAGAACUACAAGAAAUAAAUGUGUGGUUUUUAAGCACCAGGUCUAAGAUAUUCUAUUAUCAGUCAGACUAAGGAGGGCAAAUCCACAACAAACUCUUUUAAAAAACUCAAAGAAACCAGGUGCAGUUAUGCAUGCAUUUAACUUGUGAGGCAGAGGCAAGAGGAUUGCAAGUUGGAGGCUAGAUUCAGCAACUUAG